rnacentral:misc_RNA from 1 species
UUUCCGUAGGUGAACCUGCGGAAGGAUCAUUAAUGAGUUGUCAUGGGGUUCGAUGCUGGCAGCCAAUUUUUGGAUGCAUGUGCUUGCCCUAACAAUCAUCUUCCAAACACCUGUGCACAUUUUUGAGGGAGUCUUGAGUUGGUUGCCGCUCUUGGGUGAUUUUCUCACAUUCCCUUAAAUCAUUAUACCCUAUUAACAAUGUUGAACGUGCUCUGUGCCGCAAGGCUAUUAAUAUAAUACAACUUUUAACAACGGAUCUCUUGGCUCUC